AAAAGAGAGAUGAGAGGGAAGGUUCUUAUUUUUUUGUGUGUUUUUUCAUUUUUUUUCGCCACUGUUGUGAUGGUUCGUCAUCAUCAUCGUUGUUUUGUGUUUUGUGUGAGGAGGAGGAAGAGGAAGAUCGUCAAAGUGAAGGAAAAGAA
rnacentral:ribozyme from 14 species